rnacentral:rRNA from 1 species
UAACACAUGCAAGUCGAGGGGCAGCAUGGUCUUAGCUUGCUAAGGCCGAUGGCGACCGGCGCACGGGUGAGUAACGCGUAUCCAACCUGCCUUACACUCUUGGACAGCCUUCUGAAAGGGAGAUUAAUACAAGAUGUUAUCAUGAGUAAGCAUUUUCGCAUGAUUAAAGGUUUACCGGUGUAAGAUGGGGAUGCGUUCCAUUAGAUAGUAGGCGGGGUAACGGCCCACCUAGUCUUCGAUGGAUAGGGGUUCUGAGAGGAAGGUCCCCCACAUUGGAACUGAGACACGGUCCAAACUCCUACGGGAGGCAGCAGUGAGGAAUAUUGGUCAAUGGACGAGAGUCUGAACCAGCCAAGUAGCGUGAAGGAUGAAGGUUCUAUGGAUUGUAAACUUCUUUUAUACGGGAAUAAACGAAUCCACGUGUGGAUUUUUGCAUGUACCGUAUGAAUAAGGAUCGGCUAACUCCGUGCCAGCAGCCGCGGUAAUACGGAGGAUCCGAGCGUUAUCCGGAUUUAUUGGGUUUAAAGGGAGCGUAGAUGGGUUGUUAAGUCAGUUGUGAAAGUUUGCGGCUCAACCGUAAAAUUGCAAUUGAUACUGGCAGUCUUGAGUACAGUUGAGGUAGGCGGAAUUCGUGGUGUAGCGGUGAAAUGCUUAGAUAUCACGAAGAACUCCGAUUGCGAAGGCAGCUUACUAACCUGUAACUGACAUUGAUGCUCGAAAGUGUGGGUAUCAAACAGGAUUAGAUACCCUGGUAGUCCACACGGUAAACGAUGAAUACUCGCUGUAGGCGAUAUACAGUCUGCGGCCAAGCGAAAGCAUUAAGUAUUCUACCUGGGGAGUACGCCGGCAACGGUGAAACUCAAAGGAAUUGACGGGGGCCCGCACAAGCGGAGGAACAUGUGGUUUAAUUCGAUGAUACGCGAGGAACCUUACCCGGGCUUAAAUUGCAACCGAAUAUGGCGGAAACGCUAUAGCUAGCAAUAGCGGUUGUGAAGGUGCUGCAUGGUUGUCGUCAGCUCGUGCCGUGAGGUGUCGGCUUAAGUGCCAUAACGAGCGCAACCCUUGCCGAUAGUUACUAACAGGUCAUGCUGAGGACUCUGUCGGGACUGCCAUCGUAAGAUGUGAGGAAGGUGGGGAUGACGUCAAAUCAGCACGGCCCUUACGUCCGGGGCUACACACGUGUUACAAUGGGGGGUACAGAGGGCUGCUACCACGCAAGUGGAUGCCAAUCCCAAAAACCUCUCUCAGUUCGGAUUGAAGUCUGCAACCCGACUUCAUGAAGCUGGAUUCGCUAGUAAUCGCGCAUCAGCCACGGCGCGGUGAAUACGUUCCCGGGCCUUGUACACACCGCCCGUCAAGCCAUGGGAGCCGGGGGUACCUGAAGUGCGUAACCGCAAGGAGCGCCCUAGGGUAAAACUGGUGACUGGGGCUAA